UUCACAUACCAAAUUGGGAUGGAGAUAUUUCAAAUCCAGGUUUUACUACAUCUCUGCUGCGAAAAAAACGUGGAGUUAAAGCAGGCAGGACUGCAGAAAAAGAGGAGCAGACCUGGCCAUCAUAAACACCAGCGAGAAACGGGACUUUAUCGUUAACCUGCUGAGCAACAAGGAGGCAUGGAUUGGUCUGAGUGACAGAGACAGAGAGGGGGUGUGGAAAUGGGUGGACGGUUCACCACUGACCACUAGGAGAAACUGCAUGGAGCAGACAUUACAGACUGAGUGCAGUGUGUUUGCUGCUGCUGUGUGUUUUCCUGCUGACUGCUGUCACAGUGCUGUGGGUCAAAUACAACACCCUGACAAAAGAGAGACCCCAGUUACAAUU